rnacentral:lncRNA from 7 species
AUAGUGCUGUGACUGUGGAAUGGAGUUCUACCUCUUACACUGACGUUAUAUGGCAAGGCGUUAUGGAGAGCCGUGUGGUUGUUGUUGCAGAAUUACUUGAAAAAGAAGGAUGUGUAUUAUUCCUACCAAAUUUGGCACCAGCCCCACUGUCCCAUUUCUGAACCAGGUUGCUAACAGGUCGCUGAGAAUCUCCACCUCUAACAGUUAUAUCAGUUAGACCGGCAUGAACACUAUCCCAAAUACCUCCCCAACAGCUGGAUCUGUCAGCGUGGACAUCAAUGGAAUGACCAUCCAUGUACUGACACCAAGAACACAUGUCAGACUGUCUUAAAAAGACUUGAGCUGAUGAAAUUGUCCAAUCCUAAGGGAUCCUGGGACUGCCAGGUUCUUCUGCCACUUUAUUUCAGUGUGAGAUUACAUCAAAAACUGAUCUUGACCCACUCUCAAAUUAGGUGUUCUUGGUCUGAAGUGUCCUCCUUGCUCAUUCCAUGCCACUGGGAGCUCUCUUCACACCAUCCUGUUAAAGCCCGUAUAAUCUACAGAACAAAAACCUACCAGGAUCAAAGCCCAUCCCUAUCCGUCAACUGACAGGUUGGCAUUGUGUGUCAAGUGUCUGAAGACAGCAUCAGCAGAAGACAAGGUCAGAAGAGUGAGCCAGACUCAUGACAUCAAAUAUUUCUACAAAGAAAAGGGGCUUAAAUUGUGCAGGUUUUCUGCCCGUUUGCUUUGUUCUUAGAGGAAGCUUGGCAGAGUGGCUAUUGCACUGCAGUAAUGGUAGUGAGCUGGGAAGUCACAAUUAACUGUUGCCCUUCAGACCUCCCAGGUGGAGUGCAAUGCAAAAUGCAAGCAGAUGUAACUGCAGGGAACUGUUACAGCAAGUGAACUAAACGUGUCCUUUUUAGAUGCUU